UGGAUAUGAUGACAGCUGAGGUGCGGCGCUGGCUGAGUGAAUGCUGAACAGAAACACAAUGUAAUGUUUAAAAUGUGUAGUUUAAGUGUUAGGUGUGUGUGUGUGUGUGUGUGUGUGUGUGUGUGGAGCUGAGGGACGGGGUGUCAGAGAUCAGUGCUGAUAAAGGAGUGCAUCUGAGGUGGGCCGCUCGCUGUGAGGCUUCUCUGCGGUCUGACUGAUGAUUAGAGCCUCGCUAUCACCCUCUCCCUCAGCCGCCGGCGCCGUGCUCUCAGCAGGGCCCGUGACCCGACACACACGCCCUGCGGUCUGAUCCAC